GACGAACGCUGGCGGCGUGCUUAACACAUGCAAGUCGAGCGGCGCGGCGAACGGGUGAGUAACGCGUGAGUAACUGCCCCCCUCUCUGGGAUCACAGUUGGAAACGGCUGCUAAUACCGGAUAGUGGGGGAUGAUUCGGGUCCUAUCAGUUUGUUGGUUGGGUGGUGGCCAACCAAGGGGACGACGGGUAGCCGGCCUGAGAGGGGGACCGGCCACAUUGGGCUGAGGUACGGCCCAAGCUCCAACGGGAGGCAGCGGUGGAGAAUAUUGCACAAUGGGGGAAACGCUGAUGCAGCAACGCCGCGUGCGGGAUGACGGCCUUCGGGUUGUAAACCGCUUUCAGCCAUGACGCGGUAGUGGCAGAAGAAGCACCGGCUAACUACGUGCCAGCAGCCGCGGUAAUAC
rnacentral:rRNA from 1 species